rnacentral:rRNA from 1 species
AUGGCCUCCGAACAGAUGGUGCAUAUGAGUCAAGGACAAGGGGAAACUAGCUAUGCUCGCAACUCCAGUUUCCAGAAGGCUGAGCAGAACAGGAUGAAAUCCCUCAUAGAAGCGGUCAUCGCCGACUUAUGCGGCAGCAGCAGUACCUUGUUGCAUGGAAAGGUAGUAAUCGCGGACUUGGGAUGCUCCUCCGGCCCAAAUGCGCUAGCACUGGUAUCAACUGCCAUCAAUGCCAUCCACAGCCAAUGCCUUCACUUACAGCAGCCACCACCUGAAGUAUGCGUGCUACUCAACGACCUGCCUGACAAUGACUUCAACACGGUGGUGAAGAGCUUGGUCAUGCUCCGUCAAAGCAAGGAUCCUGUGUCCUGA